UGCCGUUUUACAAUGCAAAAAAGAGUAGUUGUUCAUUUUUUGUAUGCUAAAACAGGCGCU
rnacentral:pre_miRNA from 1 species